AGUGAACGCUGGCGGUAGGCCUAACACAUGCAAGUCGAACGGCAGCACAGUAAGAGCUUGCUCUUGCGGGUGGCGAGUGGCGGACGGGUGAGGAAUACAUCGGAAUCUACUUUUUCGUGGGGGAUAACGUAGGGAAACUUACGCUAAUACCGCAUACGGCCUACGGGUGAAAGCAGGGGAUCUUCGGACCUUGCGCGAUUGAAUGAGCCGAUGUCGGGUUAGCUAGUUGGCGGGGUAAAGGCCCACCAAGGCGACGAUCCGUAGCUGGUCUGAGAGGAUGAUCAGCCACACUGGAACUGAGACACGGUCCAGACUCCUACGGGAGGCAGCAGUGGGGAAUAUUGGACAAUGGGCGCAAGCCUGAUCCAGCCAUACCGCGUGGGUGAAGAAGGCCUUCGGGUUGUAAAGCCCUUUUGUUGGGAAAGAAAAGCAGCAGGUUAAUACCCCGCUGUUCUGACGGUACCCAAAGAAUAAGCACCGGCUAACUUCGUG
rnacentral:rRNA from 1 species